rnacentral:rRNA from 1 species
ACUUCGGUACAUCGGUGACAGGUGGUGCAUUGGUUUGUCGUCAGCUCGUGUCGUGAGAUUGUUUGGGUUUAAGUCCCGCAACGAGCGCAACCCCUAUUGUUUAGUUGCCAUCAUUCAGUUUGGGCACUCUAGCGAGACUGCCGGUAAUAAACCGGAGGAAGUGGGAUGACGUCAAAUCAUCAUGCCCCUUAUGACCUGGGCUACACACGUGCUACAAUGGUUGGUACAACGAGUUGCGAGUCGGUGACGGCGAGCUAAUCUCUUAAAGCCAAUCUCAGUUCGGAUUGUAGGCUGCAACUCGCCUACAUGAAGUCGGAAUCGCUAGUAAUCGCGGAUCAGCACGCCGCGGUGAAUACGUUCCCGGGCCUU